GGGAAUAUUGUGGGCGAAAGCCUGAUCCAACAAUGCCGCGUGAGUGAUGAAGGCCUUCGGGUUGUAAAGCUCUUUUACUCGGGACGAUAAUGACGGUACCGAGAGAAUAAGCCCCCGCUAACUCCGUGCCAGCAGCCGCGGUAAUACGGAGGGGGCUAG
rnacentral:rRNA from 1 species